GGGUUGCUCUGGCAGAAGGAGACAUCAAUUGCCACUUGGGGGUGGCCCAAGAGACUUGUGAGGAAAGAUGCACCGAAGGAGCCUUUCCUGCCAUCCUGCUGCUUCGCCAGAUGUUCUCCAUUUGCUGCCUGUGCAGUGAUUUCUCCUCUCUAGGCAUCCUGUAACUGCCUUCAUCUCGCUGAUUUCACAGCACUCCCACGGCAUCAAGAGCACUUUGAAUUCUGGUCCCGUCCUCCAGAGCUCUCACAAUCACUCCCAGCCUCCUGUCACCCACAAAUGCUAUCAGCAUCUCCUCUGCUCCAGCCCAGAGGGAGCAGGAGCUCCCUGAGGUCCCCACAGCCUCUCAUCUUCCCAGGGCACCCCAGUGCCCAUCCUUGGGCUGGUGACGUUCAAGGCAUUCAUUCUGACCGUGUGAGAUUUUACUCAGACUGUGCUUGCUGAGUUCCCCUUGAGUGUGUUUGAGGAGCACCUGCUGACCGUGGCACACCGUGUGUCACAGCCCUUGGUGAUGGUCAUUUGCCCCCCAGGACCUUCUCUCCUUCCACUUCCCUGACCAAGCCCUCCUUAAAGCUGCAUUUCAGUUUUUAUUAUUUAUUCUCAAGAAAUGUAUAAACCUCUGCUGGCUCUGUCUCCUGGGCCACCAUCUAAUCUUCCAGGUGAUGACAACUUGAUUGGUGAAUAAUAGAUUCCAGUCUCUUCCCAGCUGCUGAAUGGAGCUGUAAUUUCUAAAUGCAUCCUUGAAGAAGGAGCAGAGCUUGUCCUUCUCCAGGGGUUGGUUUUUAAUCAGCCCAGUUGUCUUUUCAACGUUGAAAACUUCUUUUCAUUGUAAUAUGCAAAAAACCCAAACAUGGAAAUGAACCAUUCACCUUGAAUUAGUGUGCAGAUUAGGGACCCAAUGUUUUGGAUGCUGCAGAAAUCCUGUAAGUGAUGUUCUCUGCUCUGGAAAACUUUAAUAUUAAGCAGGCAAGGUAAGCAACUGAAAAGACUGAAAACAGACACCAGGGGAUUGAAUGAAUUGCUGAGGCAUAGAUCCGUGUCACGCUGGAGAUUAAAAGUCAGUCUCUCUGAAACCCAGAAGAAAACUUUGCUGUUGCUCUGAUCGCUUUUUUUGAUGGGCUGUGGAAAACACAGAAAAAUGAAACUGGUCCCUUGAAAACAUUCCAAGUUGAAGAAUGACAUGAAAUGUGAUUUUUAUAAUUUCAAAUAUGGACAUUUAAAAACUUCACUAAAAUCCCAAUAAGAACUCUCAGAAUAGGUUUGGUGGGUUUUUUUGUUACUCUGUAUUUGUACUUUCAAUGCAGAAAGAACCUACUGAUAUACCUGUCUCAUAACGUUAGCAAAAAGAAUACUUGGAGAAAGCCGAA